rnacentral:rRNA from 1 species
GGACCCGCACAAGUAGUGGAGCAUGUGGUUUAAUUCGAAGAUACGCGCAGAACCUUACCAACACUUGACAUGUUCGUCGCGACUUUGAGAGAUCAAAGUUUUCGGUUCGGCCGGACGAAACACAGGUGCUGCAUGGCUGUCGUCAGCUCGUGUCGUGAGAUGUUGGGUUAAGUCCCGCAACGAGCGCAACCCUCACUUUUAGUUGCCAUCAUUUAGUUGGGCACUCUGAAAGAACUGCCAGUGAUAAGCUGGAGGAAGGUGGGGAUGACGUCAAGUCCUCAUGGCCCUUACGUGUUGGGCUACACACGUGCUACAAUGGUAUCUACAACAGGAAGCAAGACGGCGACGUCAAGCAAAUCCUUAAAAGAUACCUCAGUUCGGAUUGCACUCUGCAACUCGAGUGCAUGAAGCUGGAAUUACUAGUAAUCGUGGAU